UAACGAAUAUUGGGCAAUGGGCGCAAGCCUGACCCAGCAAUGCCGCGUGCAGGAGGAAGCCCUUCGGGGUGUAAACUGCUGUCAGGUUCUAGCAAGCAACGGGUGUGAAUAGCACCCUGCGUUGAGCAGGACCAAAGGAAGCCUCGGCUAACUCUGUGCCAGCAGCCGCGGUAAGACAGAGGAGGCAAGCGUUGUUCGGAAUUACUGGGCUUAAAGCGCGUGUAGGCGGCUGCGCAAGUGUCCUGUGAAAUCCCACGGCUCAACCGUGGAAUCGCAGGGCAAACUGUGUGGCUUGAGGUCGGUAGGGGUGCUCGGAACUCUAGGUGGAGCGGUGAAAUGCGUAGAUAUCUAGAGGAACGCCAGUGGCGAAAGCGGAGCACUGGGCCAAUUCUGACGCUGAGACGCGAAAGCGUGGGGAGCAAACAGGAUUAGAUACCCCCGUAGUCC
rnacentral:rRNA from 1 species